AAUAAAAGAUUCAACUCAUAUAUCCCCAAAAUAUGGUUGGGAGUGUCUACCGGAAACCCUAAAUUUCUGACUAUGAGUGAUUAUUAAUA
rnacentral:ncRNA from 1 species